rnacentral:tRNA from 1 species
UAGAGAGUAGUAUAGUGGAAGUACGUGGGAUUUUGGGUCCCUUAGUGCAGGUUCGAACCCUGUUUUUCUA